AGAGUUUGAUCCUGGCUCAGAACGAACGCUGGCGGCGUGCUUAACACAUGCAAGUCGCGUGCGCAGUUCCGUAGCAAUACGGGAUGGGCGCACGGCGCACGGGUGCGUAACACGUGGGCAAUCUGCCCUCCGAUGGGGAAUAACCCCGCGAAAGCGGGGCUAAUACCGCAUAACAUUCCUUGGACUAUGGUUUGAGGACUCAAAGCAGCAAUGCGUCGGAGGAGGAGCCCGCGCCCGAUUAGCUAGUUGGUGAGGUAACGGCUCACCAAGGCAAUGAUCGGUAGCUGGUCUGAGAGGAUGGCCAGCCACACUGGAACUGAGACACGGUCCAGACUCCUACGGGAGGCAGCAGUGGGGAAUCUUGCGCAAUGGGCGAAAGCCUGACGCAGCGACGCCGCGUGGGGGAUGAAGCUUUUCGGAGUGUAAACCCCUUUCGACUGGGACGAAUGCCCGCAAGGGAGUGACGGUACCAGUAGAAGAAGCCCCGGCUAACUACGUGCCAGCAGCCGCGGUAAGACGUAGGGGGCCAGCGUUGUUCGGAAUUACUGGGUGUAAAGGGUUCGUAGGCGGUGUGGCAAGUCGGGAGUGAAAUCUCUGGGC
rnacentral:rRNA from 1 species